rnacentral:tRNA from 1 species
GCGGAUGUGGUGGAAUUGGCAGACACGCUAGAUUCAGGUUCUAGUUCCGUCAAAAGAGUGCAGGUUCAAGUCCUGUCAUCCGCACCA